GAUCAUUCAAGAAUCAAAAUAAAGAAUUAAGAUGUCCAUCAAUUCGAACGAUGGCAUGGUGUAAUGUUUAUCGUGAUUCGUGAAUAUCGUCACUAUGCUGUCGUGAUCCUGGAAAAGAAUGAAAGAACUAUGAGAAAAAUUAGUGGUCGCAAGGAAUUAGCCUGCUGUUUUGGUCUGAUCUGAUGAAGUUGGAUGGUAAAAUAUGUUGCUGUUAUACCAUUAUGGGUAAAGAGAGUAAUAUGUUCUCUGUGGAAUGCCUGAAUAUUUUCGACCGGGUUUGCCAAGAAAUUGUUCGAUAAUAUGUAAGAACGGGAAAGUCAGGAACUGAAGGAUCAAGCCCACGAUUUUCCCUCUACCUCGCUCUGCUAUGCUGACUCAUGGCGCCAAAUGUUAUUGGUCAUCACAAACUAGUGACUCAUACUCUUGCUAUAAUGGCCUAAUGUCAGGCUGACUUUUCAGCAAAGAGCGGCAAAAAGAAACUAGAAUCCAAUAUCAGCUGUGAUGUAUAUGGUUGCAGUGAAAUAAUUUCAAAAACGCCGACUGUCCUUCAAAUGGUUCGAAAUGGAAGAUUUAUUCGUUUAACGAAGAAACGAGUCAAAUUACUCAAAUGUCUAUUGGUAUAAAGUGUCUAAGUGAGUUUUUUAGCCAUAACCAUUUAGUAUUCAUUUUUAUAUUGGUUGUUGUAGACCCAUUCCAAUCCCUAGCAACGUUAACCUGCAGAAGGAAAGGCCAGUUUACAUGUCCUUCACAUUCGAAGGUCACAGAGAUUAUUAUGUAAAAGACCCAUCCCCAGCAAAGUCAACCUGCAAAAGGAAGGGAGCGUCCGCAUGUCCUUCACACUAGUAGGUCACGGAGAUCAUUACGAAAAACGUGUAGAGACCCACCCCCAGCAACCUGCAGAAGGAAAGGCCAGUAACACACUCGAAGGUCACGGAGAUCUUUACGUAAAACGUGUCAUGCAGUGGAGUAGAGGCUGGGUGAGAACGGACGUUUUGCAUCAUUAUCAAGCAGGUAGAACACCCGCAAGGCUUUAGAGGUGAGGGUGAGAAAAAAAAUCGUAUAAAAGGAGAGAGAAAAGGCGAAGGAAAGUCAGUCGAGUGAGCAUCUCCGACACGGCAACAACUGCAGCGCACUCUCCAUCUGCCUUCUUCACCGUAUUGCCAGUUCGCAAUCAUGGUGAUGCUGAUGUUAAUUACUGUCAACUAAGGUGUCGUAUGCUGUUGAAUGUUGUAUCGUUGACGACUGGGUCGACCACUGGUGUACCGAUGUCUCCUGGUUAUGGCGGAACCGCAACACCGCCGCCUUACUACACAACAACAACAUACGCAACAAUCGAUUCCUACACCACCAAGGCUCAAGAGUGUUACACCACAAUUCAUGAUGCCCCGAGCUGCUACACCGAAUCCCGAAAUAUAACUCUGCCCCGAGUUACAUCACCAGAGAGCCGUAUUACUACACCGAGGUUCCCAAGUACUACAUCACUGAGGCAGCGGAAUACUACACGUAUAUGCAUGCUACCCCUGACUACUACACCGAGGCCUACAAGACCGAAGCGCUCAAGUACUACACUACAACCUACGCUGCCCCGAGCUACUACACCCAUGUCCCGAAGUAUUACUGUGCGUAAAAGGAGUUUUAUAAAAAGAAAAAGAAAUCGUUCCCGAACUGCAGUGCCUUAUCUUUCACCAACUACAUUCCUCAUCGUGUAACCGAUUCGCAAUCAUGGAUAACUAUGGCGUCGUGCUCCUGUUGGGUUUUGUAUCGUUGAUGCCUUGAUGGUCGACCACUGGUGUACCGAUGUCUCCUUGGUAUGGUGCAAACCAAACCGCGACGCCCAAUUCCUGCACCGAGGUCUUCCAGUACUACACCACUAAAGCACCGGAGUUUUAAACCACAACUUACGCUGCCCCGAGUCACUACACUGACGCCCUGAAGUAUUACUCUGCCCCGAGUUACUACACCAUCUAGGCGACGGAGUACUACAUGACUACGCAUGCUGCCUGGAGUUACUACACCACCAAGGUGACGGAGCACUACAUGAUUACGUAUGCUGCCCAUCCUACUACAUCGAGGUUCUAAUUGCUACACCGAGGCUCCCGCUUUCUCCACCGAAACGGCCGAGUACUACACCGAAGCGGCAAAGUACUUCUCUACCCCGAUCUACACAACGCAGUCCCGACAUGCUACGCAGAAGCUGCUCUUUCGUGCUACGUUGAACUGAAACACUACACUGAUGCUCCAGUCUACUACACCACGACCUACGCUACACCUAGUUACAACACCGCAGCCCUCAGUACACCGAAGAAGCCGCCUAUUACACAACCACGUACGCUGCCUGGUAUAUACUACACCGAGGAAUAUAAGUAUUACCCUGCUCCAAACUACUACCAUCUGAUGUUCAUAUGUAUUAGACCAGCAAUUCUCCUGACUUUGUCACCACUUGCUCCUACCUAUACAUCUAAAUUCUGUAGUAUUUCACUGGAUAUGUUGAAAGAUUGCUGAAAUAAAAGAUUGAUCGAUAAA
rnacentral:lncRNA from 1 species